ACUCGUGAGACCUAUGUAUCCUAGGCUCUGAUACCACUUGUCACUACCCUAAACCCAGACUCGGUCGUGAUGGCGCCUCUCGUGAAGACAAGACUAGCCGACACAACAACCAAUUCAUUUUUAAGCAAUUAAAAGGGCACAAUAACAUAAUUUAAUCCCAAAUAAACAGUGAAAUAGUAAAAGUUGCGGAAAAACCAAUACAGCCCGACAUCGGGGUAUCACCAAUCAUGAGCAUCUAACAUAGUCUAGGAAUACAGAAAAGGGACUACACAGUCUAGUACCAAAUCCAAUACACGGGAAAGAAAUAAUGACAAGAGGGAGAAAACACUGGGUUGCGAUCGCCGAGCAGCUACCUAGUGGACUCCGAAAUCUGCUGGAAGCUAUCAACCCUCGCUAGCAGAACCUGGAGCUCCUGAAUCUGCACACAGGGUGCAGGGAGUAAAGUGAGUACUCCAACUCAGUAAAGUGAGUAAUAAUAAUAAAUAAAAACUGAGUGAUAAGAAAUCACGUAAAGGACACAACAAUAUGCUAUAAAGAAGUAGAGUAAAACCAAAUAAACGCAAUAAAAUAGUGAAAUCUUAUAAAACACCUUGAUUCAGAAUAAGCUUCUUUAAAAUACCUUUUCAACAGUUAAACAAGUGAAUGAAAAGCAACUAGAAAAGAUAAACACAUAAAAAUCAGCCCCUCGGGCAAUAACAUGGGACAACACCAGCCCCUCGGGCUAUACCUCAUAUCACAAUGGGUACCCGCGCUCACUGGUGGUGUACAGACUCCGGGAGGGGCACCUUACGCCAAGCGCAAUAUCAAGUCAUCUCGUGGUAUAAUCAAUAGGCUCUCAGCCUCAUAUCAAUAAGCCACCUCGUGGCGUACAAUCUCAGGCCCUCGGCCUCAUAAUCAUAAAUCAGUGUAUAUCUGCUACGACGUGCAGCCCGACCUAAAAGUAUCCUCACAACACAGGCCCUCGACCUUACACAGUCAGAAAUCUCUAAAAGCCACUCAAGCACAGUAAAAUAUGAUGCUCAACCCAAAAUAUCAUUUAAAGUAUUAAAACAGAGUAAACAUGACUGAGUUAUGAAAACAAUAUAAUAUAGCAUGACUAAGUACAGAUAUAAAAUCAAAACAAUGAGGAAAUAGUAGUAAAAAUCCCCUAAGGGUCCAAAUAGUUGGCACGAGGCCAAAUAUGGCAUUCAGCCCAAAACAUGAUGAUAACAAAUAAUUUUCAAUUAAAUACGCGGUAAAACAGUCAUUCAGGAUGGACUAAGUCACAAUCCCCAACGGUGCACGACCCCACGCUCGUCAUUUAGUGUUUGCGUCACCUCAAUAUAGUACAACGAUGUGAAAUUUGGGGUUUCAUACCCUCAGGAAAAUAUUUAUAAUCAUUAUUCACCUCGAUUCGGUCCAAACUCUAGCCCGCGAUGCCUUUGCCCCUCGAAUCGGCCCAACUCGUGUCGAAUCUAUCCAAAAUCAAAAUCAUGACGUCAAAAUAUGCUAAGGGAACGAAGCCCAUGCGAAAAUAAUCAAUGUACAACAUAAAUCCCGAAAUUAACCAAAACUCGACCCCCGGGCCCACGUCUCGGAAUUCGAUAAAAUUUACAUCAAUUGAUUCCUUAUCUCUCCACGAAUUCAUACAUACCAAAAGUCCCAAAAUCCGACCACAAAUGCCCCUUCAAAUCCUCAAGUCAAGGACUCCAAUACCAAGCCCUACUUUUCCAAAUUUCAAUCCUUAAUUUCCAUAAAUUACAAGCCUAAUCCGUAAAAUAAUGCCAUAAGAUCGAUUAUUAGGUUAAAAAAUCUUACCUCCAAACUUUAUUCCUUGAAUCCCUCUUCAAAAUAGCUUCCCCAAGCUCAAACAUGAAUAAACCUUUUAUACCUUCUGGUCUUGGCUUCUAGCACCUGUGGUCCAAAUCUUGCUUCUAUGGUCCAAGACGCCGCAUCUGCGAUCCUCACUUAAAUCCCAAGAUCCGCAUAUGCGAUGCAAAUCCCACACCUGCGCUACCACAGGUGCGCCUACCUAGCCACGUUUGUGGCUCCAGCUCUCCUUGGCCCCUUCCGCUUCUACGACUCUUUUCCGCAUCUGUGAGGGUCGCACCUGCGGCCUCCCAACUGCAGAUGCGGUUACGACAUCAGUCCUACCACUUCAGCUGCCAUUUCCAAAUUCCUAUCUUUCUAUCAACCAUCCGAAAUCACCCCGAGUCCUCCGGGACCUCAACCAAAAGCACAAACGAGUCACAUACCACCAUCCAAACUUAUACCAAUCUUGAAAACACCUCAAAAAAUAUCGAAUCAACCAAAACACAUCGAAUUCAAGCCUAAAGUUCCAAAAAUCUUUCGAAUUACACUUUUGAUCAAAAAAUCUAUCAAACCACAUCCGAAUGACCUAAAAUUUUGCACACAUAUCCCAAAUGACACAACAGACCUACUGCAACUUCCGGAAUUCCAUUCCGACCCCUAUAUCAAAAUAUCACCUAUCAACCGAAAACGCCAAAUUUCCAAUUUCGUCAAUUCAAGCCUAAAUCUACUCCGGACCUCCAAAACACGUUCCGAUCAUACUCCUAAGUUCCAAAUCACCUCCCAAAGUUAUUCGAACCAUCAGAAUUCAUAUCCAAGCCCUCUAACACAUAAGUUAACAUCCGGUUGGCCUUUUCAACUUAAGCUUCCUCAAAAGAGACUAAGUGUCUCAAACCUUAUCAAAACCUUUCCGAACCCGAGCCAACCAACCUGAUCAUACAUAGAACCAAUAAAUAAAGCAAUAAAAAGUAGAAAUGGGGAAAACGGAGCGGUAACUCAUGAAAUGACCGGCCGGUUCGUUACACAUUUAGAUGAUUGUUGUAUUAUUAUUAUUAUUAUUAUAUAUGAUUUCUCUCAUUAAUUAAUUUUCUUUCUUUCUUCAUAUAAAUGUCACACCUCCUUUUUCCCGAGGGGAUAGAGAGUUUUUCCAAUAAAAGAGACAUUAAUUGAAAUGAUAUUAUUUAUUUUGAUUCAAAAUCGCCACUUGGGAUAUUUAUGGUGUCCCAAGUUACCGGUUUAUUUAAAAUCCCAAAUCGAGGAAAUAAAAGACUCUAUUUUGGUCCGCGAACACGGAAGAUGGGGUAAAAAAUUCUGGUAACCCGUGAGAAGGCGUGAGGCACUCCCGAAUUUCGUGAUUUUAGCACGGUCGCUCAACUAUUAAUAAUUGACCUAAUUAUCUUAUUUAAUACAUAUUCGAAACAUUUUGUGUAUUUUUUUUACUUUUAAAUCUCUUUUAAUAUUUAUGGAAUUUAUUUGAACAAGUUGCGAUGUUGCGCACUCGUUUAUUUUUGUACAUAUUGCGAAUCACGCCACGUGAAAUGCACCCGCGGUUUACAAUGUGUUUAUUAUUAUUAGUAUUCGAAAUUGUGGUCGAGUCACAUGAAACGCACACUCGAGUUGGGGUGUAGGUAUCAUGACUAUGCCACGAUAACCGUACCCAUAGUCAUGAUGAUUUAUUUUACGCGCCUAAAGCACAUUCCGGGUGUUUAUAAGUUGUGUAGUCCCUAAUUUGGAAAUUGUGUGUGAAAAGACCCGUGAUUAUGGAGUACUUUUAUUAAAAGAGAUUUCAUGCUCAUUCCCUUUAAAACUUUUAUUUCAUGCAUUUGACCAAGCCCAAUCUUAAAACAUGAGAACUAUUAAUUACUAAUGGGCUUUGGUCAUUCCCCACUCCCAUGAACUACAAUCAUUCAAACAAUUUCAAUAAGGCGAGGUAAAAUGGACAAUCAAGCAAAAUGCUAAAGCAGUAGACUAAUAACAAAGCUAAUAGCAAGAUAAAAAUAAAGAAAGAUAGUGUGUUUGAAAUAUUAUAAAAGCCACCUAACACUCCAUCAAUCCCAUUCACAAUAACAUCCAAAUGAAAAGGCUACUAAUCUAAAUGAAAAAACCCAUUUCCAAUUCUUUAGGUAAUAGACAACCAACUAGCAGAAUCAAUGACGACAGAAAUUGACCAACGAAGAUAACACAUAAUUUCACAUGCUCAAAACUGAAUCAUACAGAUUCCAUUGAUAGAAAGUGAAAACUACAUAGUUUAGUGGGGUGAAUAAUACCUUGAAAGCAGUAACAAGUCCUUAAAAUUGCCAAAUAAUUACUGAAAAAUGCUACAAUUUGGGAAUUCAGCUACCAGUUGACAUGGAUCAGCCACACAUCAACGAUAAACUCAGUUAGAUCAACUUAGAAACCCAAAAAUGCCGGAUGAAUAUGGGGUUUUUGAAACCACUGAUCUAGACUAAUAUUUUUAGGCUAUUUGGAGCACUUUUUUAACUGCUGUUUUUGUGUAUUUUUCAUAGCUUAAGACGUCAGAUCUCAACAAUGAACUUCAAGUGGAUAAAAUGAGUUUAUGAGUGUAUUAUGUGAGAAUGAGGGAGUGAAUGGGUGAGAUGGAGAAGGAAGCGGGUAGGGUUUUCAGAAGGGGGGCCGGUUCUGUCUCUUCUCGGCGACGGUUGGAAGGUUGAAAAAGGAGAGGAAAAGGCUCUAGUUUUUUUUAUGAGUGAGGGGGGCAUGUUCAAUUGUAGAGCCAAACAACCUUGUUUUCUU
rnacentral:lncRNA from 1 species